rnacentral:sRNA from 1 species
AUUUAGUGGCAAAUAAACGAAUUAUGGAAUUCUACUAUGCAGUCAAGCCAGUUUAAAAAAGGAUACAAUAUCUAGAUACUCCCUCCUUCUCCCCGUCAGGCUAGGGGUCCCACUGGUUUUCCAUGGGCAUCGCUGUGCUCUGGAAAACACAACACUUGAAUAUAUAUAGGAGUCAAUUCACUCUCCCAUCGCCUUCUCCACGAUACCGACUAACUCGCCACUACUCAUCCCUGAACGGAUAAUCAUCGGCAUACCAUUCCUCCCUCCAGGCACAACCACCAUUUUUACUUCCUCCGCACUAUCCCUUGGCCACACCAGGAAUACCUUAUCGAGCAACCGAAUCAAAUAAUCAUCCGGGACAAUACCCAGGGCCUUACGGAAACAGUUUGUCGUGGUAGCGGGUUCGUGAAUACUUUUCACGUCGAGAUAUACAGUUCCUAAUCGCUCCUCUUGGGAUACGCGAUAGGUCAGGGCCAUGUCUAUGAAGCAGUAAUCGCGCUCUAAGGUGACGGGGUGAGUGUCGACAAUGGAGAGGGAGAGAGCCAGGUUAUUGAGCCUGUCGGUGGGUGGAGUUGGAGGGAGGGAGGUAAUGGGUAGAGGGGUAGGCCAUUGCAUGUCCUCUGGCCGCACUUGCCGGUCGACGCUGAAUAUGUGCUUGCCGUCCAGAGAGAAGGUUAGGUCGGCCAUGUAUUCUGUAUUAAGGAUAGAAAGGUUAGUACAUUAAUCGGACGGAUAUACACUUGGCGGGAAAAUGGGUAAUAUAGACGAUAAAAAUAUUGGUUGGAUUGAUUACCUUCCGAAACUAGCUCAGAUUUCAUGUUACCGUCAUCCUCUACCGAGACGACAAAUGUCAUAUUCUGACCGAUCACUGUCCAGUACGAGUAUGCAAACACGCGCGGCGGAUAAUGGCUACUAUCAAAUGCAACUUUGAUGUCCUGCGGAAUCAUCCCAUGCUCCACCACGAUGUAAUGGGUAUGGAGAAGUUCGCAGCUUCCGUCCGCUUUGCCCUCAUAAAGUUGCAAUGUCACACUGCCGUUUUCUUCAAACGUAUAUGCGAAAAUGGGCUGGUUAGGACAAAAGGUGACUUUAGCAUCACCACUGUUAGCUAGUUUGAAGGACAGUGGCUGUGGGGAUGUCGGAUCGCUGAUAUCGAAAAUCUCAGACUUGCUGAGCAAAAAGUGACCGUUUGAAUCAAGUGAGUUAUUGCCUGAAGAGGGCUCGAGAAGCCGUUUGACGACGGGACAGGAAAGCUCUUGCCCUUCGCUCAGGCUCCAGGCUUCAAUUGUCAAAUGCGGGGAGGGUCCGCUAUUGACAGUCAGUUGAGAUAGCCCAAGUUAGCAGCUGAAGGGAAGGGGAAUUAAGACGAACAGGAAACCAGUCAAGAAGAUGGCAAAAAGGCUGCCUCCGUCAGGUGUGAUGUAAUUGAGCACUUUGCCUCUAGCCUCCAGCGCAUGCCGGGAGGCGCGCAACUCGUCAUCCUCUGCUGACGACCAUAUAUCUGCCACUGAGCGGCGCGCCACGCUCCCAUCCGAAAACGCGAUUAGUAUGCCACCUUUAGGCUCUGCUGAAAUUGGCGGCGUCAUUGUAAAGGAAACAUCCCCAAAGGACUUCCAAAGUGCAGUGCCAGAAUGAAUAGGGAAAUCAACCUGUGUACCCGUCGUUGGGCCUUCCCCAUCCAAAAUGACGCAGAUAACUCUAGGAUGCAACUCCUGGAAGGAGUCAGCAUCUGAAUUUUUUUGUUUACCCUCGUAGUAUGUCAACAAUAGUUUAGCUCCUGAACGACUGAAGGAACGGAUGCGGAUCCUAGCCCAGCUAUCUGCAAUACGUUCUUCAAUAGAGAACUGGAAUGCCGCCGUAAGGUCUCCAGCGUUCCAACGCUCAGAGCCAAAUAGCUCCAAGAUCUCCAACCAUCGGCGGUCGCGGACCCUUGCCGCUCGAGUAGAGCUGAAGCAAGUCUGCGAUAUGGAUUCCCGAUUUUCAGGGUUCCAAACCUCCUCAGGCGAAGGCAGUAUAUCCUCUGUCGCUAGAUCCCAAAUUCCACCUGGUGUAAUCAACGAGUUGUUUGGACCGAAUGCAACAAGACUCCCCCGUACAGGCAGAGAACCAGCCUGAAAUAUUUCCGAGUCAGAGCGGUCAACAAUAAUAACCUGAGCCCAAUCGGCGGUGACGGAGACCUGCUUCGGGCUGGACAAGCUCCAGCACACUGUGCGAUAGAAGAGUUCCUCGUGUGCAUCAGGGCAGAAUGUUGCUGCAAGGAAUGUCGCGUCCUGUUUCAGUUGGGCAGAGCGAACCCUCCAAAUUCCCUGAUAGUUGUCUUCUCCAUUUUCCAAGGCUGGUCGAUAGGCAGUAGCUCCAUUGAGGUGGCGACGACUUACACGGAUGUUCUCGUGUUUUCUAUCAGCUAAGAAUACCGACCUGGACUUGUGGUUAUAUCCGAUCCACCCACGCUCACCCUUCGGGAGUGGUUGCUUCUUUGUCAGGUCAUUGUUUGGAGCACCUAGGGUAAUCAGACGUUGGGGCUUGGAGCUAGUGGCCAAAGAGACAUGGCGUCCGGGGGACUCUACGCACGUAUGGAUGCAUUCAGGGGAAUGGGAAAUUGUUUCUGAAAAGGUGUGCAGGGCAUGUACAACAUGCGCGGCCCACUGUUGGGGGGUGUGUGAGAAUGCAAGACCUUUCCGAGAGAAAUUCGUGUCAAGGUUUUGGAUCCUUCCCACAGUGUACAUUGCAAUAUCAAUACCACCAAGACGAAUAUAUUCCUCGAGCCAGCAAAGGCUCCAGGGCCCAUCAAGAAGGAGAGCCAAGAGUUCAAAAAGAUCUUCGGAUGGUUUAAUAUUAUUUUCACCAGCAGUUAUAGCGUCAGCAUGGGCGCAAGCAAAUUCCGGCCAGUACAAUACCGCGUAUUCGAAGAGCGGGCACAGCUCCAUUAGUUCCUUUCUAAUGUGGCUAGAUUUGGGAAUUCGGAAAUAUGCAUUAUUCUGUACUGAGGGUGCAUGCAGAACGUUUAGGCAUGCUGUUGCUAAUACCGCAUUCGAGCUCGUCACUUCGACAAAGUACUUCGCAAGGUUAGGUGGGAUAGUGAUGGAUUGCGUUAUUUUACGCUGCAGAAAUUCUCUUGCGGACAAAUGUAUCAAGCGAAUAUUGUCUCCAUCGUCCAGUCCUGAAUAUUGCACCAGAGAACCGCAUGCUUUUACCACAUCUCUACGGGAAUAAAUAUAUGCCUCUUCGUAGUCGUCGUCAUCCUCGUACUUGGCAGCUCGAAACUCAUCGAUCUGCAGUGCCUGGUCUAAUUCACACCAGCGCAAGGGCCGGAUACUUCCCACUACCCACUGAAACACCCGUUGUACAAAGUCUUGUUCUGCAAGAGGCUUUGCGUUCAGGCCCUCCAAUAUCUUCACAUAGAGCGCUACCAUAUCACCCGGCAAUUGCAGAAGUGCCUGGCGGACUCUAGCCCCGUUUCCUUGCAUUUUGAUAUCUUUGCACAUCAGGUUUGACAUUCUGUUCACUUUGUGUCGGACAAAGGAGGCGAUGUCUCUUUUCACAUCAUCUUCAGUCAUUAGGAUUGUCAUCGUCCUUGGUCCGUUAAUGAUAUCCACGUGUUCGCCAGUCCUUCGGCUAGUCGCAAUGACAUGUAUGUCGGGGUGUGAAACCAGUGUUUUCAAGUCCUUACAGAGGGGCUUAACACCUACACACUCAUCAAGGGCGUCUAGAACGAUCGUAAAGGUGCAGCCAGCAUGUUGAACCGAGCUAGCAAAUAUAGCUAACAUUUCUUCGUAAUCAACAUGUCGUUUACGGGAGGUAUUCUGCAACGCUGUUCGUAGGUUUUCAAUCUUAUUCUCCAGCACGAAGCUAUAGAGUUGUUCGAGGAGAGACCUCAUAGCGGCUAAGGGCGUAUUUUUCGUCUCGUCGUCUGCUUUGAAGAAAUGAUAGAGUGUUAGGCAAGGUUUCUUGUGAUCCGUACCGUUUUGGAAAGUUCGCCGGGCCCGUUCAACUAGAAAUGAGCUCAAUAUUGUCUUUCCCGCGCCGGGAAUACCAUAAAUCACUAUAAAUCGCGUGUCAGAGGAAGAACCAGACCAUAAUUUGAAUUCUUGUCUACCCAUGACCCACACACAGGUGCCGUUAUGUCGCCUCGAGUUUGCCUUCUUUAGAUCAGUGGCAUAGUCUGGGGCUUUGAGCC